rnacentral:rRNA from 1 species
ACACAUGCAGUCGAGCGGCAGCGGGAAAGUAGCUUGCUACUUUUGCCGGCGAGCGGCGGACGGGUGAGUAAUGCCUGGGGAUCUGCCCAGUCGAGGGGGAUAACAGUUGGAAACGACUGCUAAUACCGCAUACGCCCUACGGGGGAAAGGAGGGGACCUUCGGGCCUUUCGCGAUUGGAUGAACCCAGGUGGGAUUAGCUAGUUGGUGGGGUAAUGGCUCACCAAGGCGACGAUCCCUAGCUGGUCUGAGAGGAUGAUCAGCCACACUGGAACUGAGACACGGUCCAGACUCCUACGGGAGGCAGCAGUGGGGAAUAUUGCACAAUGGGGGAAACCCUGAUGCAGCCAUGCCGCGUGUGUGAAGAAGGCCUUCGGGUUGUAAAGCACUUUCAGCGAGGAGGAAAGGUUGGCGCCUAAUACGUGUCAACUGUGACGUUACUCGCAGAAGAAGCACCGGCUAACUCCGUGCCAGC